AGAAAUAAAUCUUCAGAGGGUUCCACAAGCCUAUGAAAUUUGCUUUAGAUCAGGCCCUAAUGAGUCACUGCUCUAAUGCUUUAUCAGUUUGCUAUUGAGUUUCUCUUGUAUCCUAGAACAUUCCUUUUGAGCGAAUACUUGCCCACCCAAUUGCUCCCCUCAGUAGAGGAAGUCUUACUCGGAGGUGGUUGAGCCUAGGGCUUCCUAAGCACUUGUGGGAAUUCCCAAAUCUCUUUCUCUCUUCAUUGCCACUUGUGCUCCUGUCAUUUGGCUCUGCUAUCAGCCGGAACCUGAAUCAAACUGCCUCGGUUCCUGCCUCCACCUGGAGAGAUCCUUUCAUUUGCACAGCUACUUCCCCUGGACGCGGUUCCUGAAAGCCAAGGCUACCGUCUCUAGCUGUUGAAUGCCCUAGACUGGUUUCCUUUCAGGCUAAUUAUGCUGGCAAUCCAAGUUGUGCAGAAUAUCCAGUAACGACUCCAGAAUGCUGGACUUGUGGCUUUCUUUACUCUCUUGUCUAGCCCUUCCAGCACCUCCUGGUCCAAUCGCUCUGUGAGCCUGGAAGACUGUCUUCCGAUCCCUACAGAUGACUGCACUGCUGCUAAAAGGACUCUGGCUGCUAGCUAUGACUUCCUAUGUGGAGUCUGGCUAUGGUCCGUUCGCCUUUUGUAUUUGUAGUGCCCUUCAGCGGAUGAGCUGCGACGUGAGGCACGAGGCUGCUUCAUUACAUCCCAAUUACUGACUAUGCCAAACGUUCACGAUGGGCUUCAUGUACAAGCAGUUCUUUACCUUGGACCUCUAAUCAGGGAAAUCUUAGAAACCAGGAUGUUACAAUCAGUCCAGCAGAGAAGCUCCGAAAAGAUAAAGUCCGGGAGCCCUGCACCUCUAUCACCUACAAUGUGGAAGGGAUACCUGUCUUCACAUCUCUGAAAGCAAACUGGGAAUCUAGCUGCGAGGGGAUGUUACAGAAAGACCUAGAAGAACUGAUGCAGACUGAAAUAAAGCAAGCCUUGUAGGAUAUAAGUAGAAUACA
rnacentral:lncRNA from 1 species